rnacentral:snRNA from 1 species
AUCGCUUCUCAGCCUUUUGGCUAAGAUCAAGUGUAGCAUUUAACAAUUAUACUGUAUUUCAAGUUUAUAUAUAUAUGUGUGUGUGUGUGUGUGUGUGUGUGUGUGCAAGUUACUUAAGACUCUCAAACUGGCUUGCAUUCC